rnacentral:lncRNA from 1 species
AUGGCGUAGUUAGCAACUGGUGGCAAGCGGUCAGCCAAUAAAAAGCAUAAAACAAGAGCAAAUCGAGGCCCUUUUGCUUGGUUGUUCUUGAGUUCGAGCCUAGUCACCGAUGAUUGAGCCUCCGACAUAAGCCCGAGACCAACAUGAAGAAGAAGUCAGGGGAUUUGGCAUGGGGCAUCAAUGCUGGACAUGGUCAAAAAAGAAAGAAAAGAUGGGCCAAAAAUAGGAGACUUCUUCAUGGUGGAUUUCUGAUGAAUUUGGUGGCUGGCAGCAGUGAUUAAGGCCAAGAGAAGAAAGGGAAUAAGAAGAGAAAGAGGAUCGAGG